UAGAGUUUGAUCAUGGCUCAGAUUGAACGCUGGCGGUAUGCUUAACACAUGCAAGUCGAACGGUAACAGGCCUUCGGGCGCUGACGAGUGGCGGACGGGUGAGUAACGCGUAGGAAUCUGCCUCAUAGUGGGGGACAACGUGGGGAAACUCACGCUAAUACCGCAUACGCCCUACGGGGGAAAGCGGGGGAUCUUCGGACCUCGCGCUAUGAGAUGAGCCUGCGUUAGAUUAGCUAGUUGGUAGGGUAAAGGCCUACCAAGGCGACGAUCUAUAGCUGGUCUGAGAGGACGAUCAGCCACACUGGGACUGAGACACGGCCCAGACUCCUACGGGAGGCAGCAGUGGGGAAUAUUGGACAAUGGGCGCAAGCCUGAUCCAGCAAUACCGCGUGUGUGAAGAAGGCCCUAGGGUUGUAAAGCACUUUCAAUUGGGAGGAAAACCUGCCGGUCAAUACCCGGCAGCUUGACAUUACCUUUAGAAGAAGCACCGGCUAACUCCGUGCCAGCAGCCGCGGUAAUA
rnacentral:rRNA from 1 species